rnacentral:rRNA from 1 species
AUGCGCCGCAACACGGCCUACUUCCGCGCCAACUACGCGCUCGCCGUCCUCGCCGUCGUCGCCGCCUCGCUCCUCUGGCACCCGGGCACCCUCUUCGCGCUCCUCGCGCUCUGCGCCGCCUGGUUCUUCCUCUACUUCGCGCGCCCCGCCGAGGGCGCCCAGCCGCUCCGGAUCUUCGGCACCGAGUUCGACGACGGCACCGUCCUCGCCCUGCUCUCCGGGGUCACCGUCAUCGCCAUGCUCUUCACCGACGUCGGCUGGAACGUCGUCGGCUCGGUCAUGAUCGGGCUCGCCCUCGUGGGCGCGCACGCCGCGCUCAGGUCCACCGACGACCUGUUCCUCACCGAGCAGGAGGCGGCCGGCAACGGGCUCGUGGCCGCAGGCUUCAGCGCUGCUGGACCCAUCUUGCCCACCUAUGUCCGCAUUGGUUGA